GCGUCUUUAGCUCAGCUGGAAGAGCAACUGGUUUACACCCAGUAGGUCACAGGUUCGAGCCCUGUAGGACGCAC
rnacentral:tRNA from 1 species